CCGAGUAGCUUUUGUUUUAAAAAAAAAAGAAGACAAAAGACAAAAGCUUGGUUGUGUCUUAUUCUCAAACCAGUGGCACUAUUCCGGUGAGACUCCGGCCAGUUUCCGGCCAGCCAAGGGUGCUUCAAGGUUGAAAUUAUACCCACACUUUGAUUUUCUACAAGAACAUAGGUGGAUUGAGGUCCAAGGGAGGUUUUUGAACAAAUUCAAGAGAAGCUUUUGUUAAAUUGAUUUGGUAGAAUUACCAAGCUUCAAGGUUAGGGAAUUGGCGUGACGUGUACUUUGCUUUCUUGGUGAGGAUUGCGUGGUUACUUCGAGGUGAGACAGGAUCUAGUGCACAGG